CCUACGGGAGGCAGCAGUAGGGAAUAUUGCUCAAUGGGGGAAACCCUGAAGCAGCAAAGCCGCGUGGAGGAUGAAGGUUUUCGGAGUGGAAACCCCUUUUGUUGGAGAGGAAAAUGACGGUAUCUAACGAAUAAGCACCGGCUAACUCCGUUCCAGCAGCCGCGGUAAUACGGAGGGUGCAAGCGUUAUUCGGAAUCACUGGGCGUAAAGAGCGCGUAGGCGGGAUAGCAAGUCAGAUGUGAAAUCCUAUGGCUUAACCAUAGAACUGCAUUUGAAACUGUUAUCCUAGAGUAUGGGAGAGGUAGGUGGAAUUCUUGGUGUAGCGGUGAAAUCCGUAGAGAUCAAGAGGAAUACUCAUUGCGAAGGCGACCUGCUAGAACAUAACUGACGCUGAUGCUCGAAAGCGUGGGGAGCAAACAGGAUUAGAUACCCUUGUAGUC
rnacentral:rRNA from 1 species